rnacentral:rRNA from 1 species
UACGAAGGUGGCAAGCGUUACUCGGAAUUACUAGGCGUAAAGGGCAGGUAGGUGGUUUGGUAAGUCUGUUGUGAAAGCUCCCGGCUUAACUGGGAGAGGUCAACGGAUACUGCUGAACUUGAGUAUAGGAGAGGUUACUGGAAUUCCCGGUGUAGCGGUGAAAUGCGCAGAGAUCGGGAGGAACACCAAUGGCGAAAGCAGGUAACUGGACUAUUACUGACACUCAGCUGCGAAAGCUAGGGGAGCAAACAGG